CGAUUCUAUGAUUCUAUGAUUCUAAUUCUGAUCUCAUAGGAGCCAAGAUUUCGUUGGUGUUCGAGGUGGCUGCAAAAGCCAGAAAGACUACAGCUGAAGAAUGACUGACAACUGCUGUGGAAAACAGUAAGCUCCACAUGUAGAUUUGAAGACCUGAAUUUAAGAAAAAGUGUCAAAAAAAAAUAUUUGAAGACACCCAAGGAUACUGUGAGUCAACUGAGGUUCACAGAGGAUGGAUUAGUUUAAUUGCUUCAGGCUAACAAAGGAAAUGGGGGAUUAUAAAGGAAUUUACAAAUACAUCAGUGCAGAAAAAAUAUUUGGGGAAGGAACACUUCUCACCAGACUAGGCCCAGUGAGGACCAUCAACAUAUUUGAGAUCCUAUAAGAGACCUGAUGUGCUGAGGCCCCAUUUGGCCCCUUGUACUCUCAGCUGACUGCCCUCGCUGCAAAGCUAUAGAGCAGUGUUCUAGAAUGGAGAUGAAACUGAGUGGCUGAAAGGAAUGAGUUACAUACACAUCUGUGCUAAAAUUUUUUCCUAGGCCUGUGUGUGCUUAUUGUGAAAUCUUG